CCGUCGUCAGUUCGUACUGUGAAGCAUCCUGUUAAGUCAGGCAACGAGCGAGACCCACGCCCACAGUUGCCAGCGUACUCUCUGGAGUGACGGGUACACUGUGGGGACCGCCGCUGCUAAAGCGGAGGAAGGAAUGGGCAACGGUAGGUCAGUAUGCCCCGAAUAUCCCGGGCUACACGCGAGCUACAAUGGUUGGUACAAUGGGUAUCUACCCCGAAAGGGGACGGGAAUCUCCUAAAACCAAUCUUAGUUCGGAUUGAGGGCUGCAACUCGCCCUCAUGAAGCUGGAAUCCGUAGUAAUCGCGUUUCAACAGAACGCGGUGAAUACGUCCCUGCUCCUU
rnacentral:rRNA from 1 species